ACGGAGGGGGCUAGCGUUAUUCGGAAUUACUGGGCGUAAAGCGCACGUAGGCGGAUUAGAAAGUCAGAGGUGAAAUCCCAGGGCUCAACCUUGGAACUGCCUUUGAAACUCCUAGUCUUGAGGUCGAGAGAGGUGAGUGGAAUUCCGAGUGUAGAGGUGAAAUUCGUAGAUAUUCGGAGGAACACCAGUGGCGAAGGCGGCUCACUGGCUCGAUACUGACGCUGAGGUGCGAAAGCGUGGGGAGCAAACAGG
rnacentral:rRNA from 1 species